UAAUGAUAGGUUACUAAUUUCUGUUGUUGGGUCAAAGAUUGAGAAUAGAUUUCUUAUCAUUUU
rnacentral:tRNA from 1 species